rnacentral:rRNA from 1 species
UUAAGCGACUAAGCGUACACGGUGGAUGCCCUGGCAGUCAGAGGCGAUGAAGGACGUGCUAAUCUGCGAUAAGCGUCGGUAAGGUGAUAUGAACCGUUAUAACCGGCGAUUUCCGAAUGGGGAAACCCAGUGUGAUUCGUCACACUAUCAUUAACUGAAUCCAUAGGUUAAUGAGGCGAACCGGGGGAACUGAAACAUCUAAGUACCCCGAGGAAAAGAAAUCAACCGAGAUUCCCCCAGUAGCGGCGAGCGAACGGGGAGGAGCCCAGAGCCUGAAUCAGUGUGUGUGUUAGUGGAAGCGUCUGGAAAGGCGCGCGAUACAGGGUGACAGCCCCGUACACAAAAAUGCACAUAUUGUGAGCUCGAUGAGUAGGGCGGGACACGUGGUAUCCUGUCUGAAUAUGGGGGGACCAUCCUCCAAGGCUAAAUACUCCUGACUGACCGAUAGUGAACCAGUACCGUGAGGGAAAGGCGAAAAGAACCCCGGCGAGGGGAGUGAAAAAGAACCUGAAACCGUGUACGUACAAGCAGUGGGAGCACGCUUAGGCGUGUGACUGCGUACCUUUUGUAUAAUGGGUCAGCGACUUAUAUUCUGUAGCAAGGUUAACCGAAUAGGGGAGCCGAAGGGAAACCGAGUCUUAACUGGGCGUUAAGUUGCAGGGUAUAGACCCGAAACCCGGUGAUCUAGCCAUGGGCAGGUUGAAGGUUGGGUAACACUAACUGGAGGACCGAACCGACUAAUGUUGAAAAAUUAGCGGAUGACUUGUGGCUGGGGGUGAAAGGCCAAUCAAACCGGGAGAUAGCUGGUUCUCCCCGAAAGCUAUUUAGGUAGCGCCUCGUGAAUUCAUCUCCGGGGGUAGAGCACUGUUUCGGCAAGGGGGUCAUCCCGACUUACCAACCCGAUGCAAACUGCGAAUACCGGAGAAUGUUAUCACGGGAGACACACGGCGGGUGCUAACGUCCGUCGUGAAGAGGGAAACAACCCAGACCGCCAGCUAAGGUCCCAAAGUCAUGGUUAAGUGGGAAACGAUGUGGGAAGGCCCAGACAGCCAGGAUGUUGGCUUAGAAGCAGCCAUCAUUUAAAGAAAGCGUAAUAGCUCACUGGUCGAGUCGGCCUGCGCGGAAGAUGUAACGGGGCUAAACCAUGCACCGAAGCUGCGGCAGCGACGCUUAUGCGUUGUUGGGUAGGGGAGCGUUCUGUAAGCCUGUGAAGGUGUGCUGUGAGGCAUGCUGGAGGUAUCAGAAGUGCGAAUGCUGACAUAAGUAACGAUAAAGCGGGUGAAAAGCCCGCUCGCCGGAAGACCAAGGGUUCCUGUCCAACGUUAAUCGGGGCAGGGUGAGUCGACCCCUAAGGCGAGGCCGAAAGGCGUAGUCGAUGGGAAACAGGUUAAUAUUCCUGUACUUGGUGUUACUGCGAAGGGGGGACGGAGAAGGCUAUGUUGGCCGGGCGACGGUUGUCCCGGUUUAAGCGUGUAGGCUGGUUUUCCAGGCAAAUCCGGAAAAUCAAGGCUGAGGCGUGAUGACGAGGCACUACGGUGCUGAAGCAACAAAUGCCCUGCUUCCAGGAAAAGCCUCUAAGCAUCAGGUAACAUCAAAUCGUACCCCAAACCGACACAGGUGGUCAGGUAGAGAAUACCAAGGCGCUUGAGAGAACUCGGGUGAAGGAACUAGGCAAAAUGGUGCCGUAACUUCGGGAGAAGGCACGCUGAUAUGUAGGUGAAGUCCCUCGCGGAUGGAGCUGAAAUCAGUCGAAGAUACCAGCUGGCUGCAACUGUUUAUUAAAAACACAGCACUGUGCAAACACGAAAGUGGACGUAUACGGUGUGACGCCUGCCCGGUGCCGGAAGGUUAAUUGAUGGGGUUAGCCGCAAGGCGAAGCUCUUGAUCGAAGCCCCGGUAAACGGCGGCCGUAACUAUAACGGUCCUAAGGUAGCGAAAUUCCUUGUCGGGUAAGUUCCGACCUGCACGAAUGGCGUAAUGAUGGCCAGGCUGUCUCCACCCGAGACUCAGUGAAAUUGAACUCGCUGUGAAGAUGCAGUGUACCCGCGGCAAGACGGAAAGACCCCGUGAACCUUUACUAUAGCUUGACACUGAACAUUGAGCCUUGAUGUGUAGGAUAGGUGGGAGGCUUGGAAGUGUGGACGCCAGUCUGCAUGGAGCCGACCUUGAAAUACCACCCUUUAAUGUUUGAUGUUCUAACGUUGACCCGUAAUCCGGGUUGCGGACAGUGUCUGGUGGGUAGUUUGACUGGGGCGGUCUCCUCCUAAAGAGUAACGGAGGAGCACGAAGGUUGGCUAAUCCUGGUCGGACAUCAGGAGGUUAGUGCAAUGGCAUAAGCCAGCUUGACUGCGAGCGUGACGGCGCGAGCAGGUGCGAAAGCAGGUCAUAGUGAUCCGGUGGUUCUGAAUGGAAGGGCCAUCGCUCAACGGAUAAAAGGUACUCCGGGGAUAACAGGCUGAUACCGCCCAAGAGUUCAUAUCGACGGCGGUGUUUGGCACCUCGAUGUCGGCUCAUCACAUCCUGGGGCUGAAGUAGGUCCCAAGGGUAUGGCUGUUCGCCAUUUAAAGUGGUACGCGAGCUGGGUUUAGAACGUCGUGAGACAGUUCGGUCCCUAUCUGCCGUGGGCGCUGGAGAACUGAGGGGGGCUGCUCCUAGUACGAGAGGACCGGAGUGGACGCAUCACUGGUGUUCGGGUUGUCAUGCCAAUGGCACUGCCCGGUAGCUAAAUGCGGAAGAGAUAAGUGCUGAAAGCAUCUAAGCACGAAACUUGCCCCGAGAUGAGUUCUCCCUGACCCUUUAAGGGUCCUGAAGGAACGUUGAAGACGACGACGUUGAUAGGCCGGGUGUGUAAGCGCAGCGAUGCGUUGAGCUAACCGGUACUAAUGAACCGUGAGGCUUAACCUU